rnacentral:rRNA from 1 species
UUGGAGGGCAAGUCUGGUGCCAGCAGCCGCGGUAAUUCCAGCUCCAAUAGCGUAUAUUAAAGUUGUUGCAGUUAAAAAGCUCGUAGUUGAAUUUCGGGGUCAGUAGGUUGGUCAUGCCACUGGUAUGUACUGGUCUCACUGAUUCCUCCUUCCUGAUGAACUGUAAUGCCAUUAAUUUGGUGUUGCAGGGAAUCUGGACUGUUACUUUGAAAAAAUUAGAGUGUUUAAAGCAGGCUAACGCCUGAAUACAUUAACAUGGAAUAAUGAAAUAGGACGUUCGAUCCUAUUUUGUUGGUUUCUAGGAUUGACGUAAUGAUUAAUAGGGAUAGUUGGGGGCAUUAGUAUUCAAUUGUCAGAGGUGAAAUUCUUGGAUUUAUUGAAGACUAACUACUGCGAAAGCAUUUGCCAAGGAUGUUUUCAUUAAUCAAGAACGAAAGUUAGGGGAUCGAAGACGAUCAGAUACCGUCGUAGUCUUAACCAUAAACUAUGCCGACUAGGGAUCGGAUGAUGUUAAUUUUUUAAUGACUCAUUCGGCGCCUUACGGGAAAC